rnacentral:rRNA from 1 species
AUGAACGCUGGCGGCGUGCCUAAUACAUGCAAGUCGAGCGAACAGACGAGGAGCUUGCUCCUCUGACGUUAGCGGCGGACGGGUGAGUAACACGUGGAUAACCUACCUAUAAGACUGGGAUAACUUCGGGAAACCGGAGCUAAUACCGGAUAAUAUAUUGAACCGCAUGGUUCAAUAGUGAAAGACGGUUUUGCUGUCACUUAUAGAUGGAUCCGCGCCGCAUUAGCUAGUUGGUAAGGUAACGGCUUACCAAGGCAACGAUGGGUAGCCGACCUGAGAGGGGGAUCAGGCCAAAUGGGACUGAGACAAGGGCCCGAAUCCCUAGGGGGGGAGGCGGUGGGGAAUUUUCCGAAAGGGGGGAAAGCCUAACGAGGCAACCCCGGGGGGUGAAGAAGGGUUUCGGGUUCGUAAACCUUUUUUUUUGGGAAAAAAAAAAUGUGGAAGAAACCAUGCCCGUCUGAAGGGUACCAAAGAAGAAGGCCACGGCAAACUACGG